AACCCGGUCCAGAGGAAGGAGAGGGGAAGGGAGAGCCCACAGAGAGAGCACUCACAGGGGCAGCGCAGGGCAGGCGGCGUGCCCUCACUCGCCUCCCCAUCUCGGAGCUGGCCCUCGGCGCCGGAGCGGUGAGAGAAUCCGAGAGCUCCCGCGGCGGCCCCCAUGGAGCCCAAGCCCCAGCCCGCGGCCCACGGCGACGGGGCGCCGGCCGAGGCCCCCCGCCGCCGCGGCGGCGGCGGCAAGCGCAAGGCGUCGGGGUCGUCGUUCACGCCGUCCAAGCGGCACGCCAAGGAGCGCAACGCCGCCUUCCACGCGCCCUCGCACAUGCUGCACAGCGGGCCGCUCACGCGCGCCGCGCGCCAGUCGCCGCACAAGCUCUCGACCGCCCCGGCGGAUGCGGCCCCCGCGGCGGCCGUGCCCGGGGGAUCGGGCCCGGGCGAGGGCGCCGCGAUUCGGCCCGACGAGGUGCAGACGCCCGCCGAGGAAACGCCGCUGGUGGACGAGGGGUUCGAGGCCGUUCGAUCCCGCGGCGCCGGCGUCCAUGUGGUCCCUACCUUCGCCGGAUGGUUUUCAUGGAAGGAAAUCCACCAAGUUGAGAAGCAAACCUUGCCUUCGUUUUUUAAUGGAAAAUCUGAGAAGCGGACACCAGAGAUAUACUCGGGGAUUAGAAAUUCUAUCAUGAUGAAAUUUCAUGCCAAUCCUCAGCUGCAGCUGGAGCCCAAAGAUUUGGCUGAGCUGUCAGUUGGGGAGGUCGAUGCUCGACAGGAAGUGUUUGAUUUUUUGGAUCACUGGGGCCUGAUCAAUUUCCACCCUUUUCCACCUGCUGGCCUAGAAGAGAGUAAGCCAGAGGAGAGCCAAAGCGAUUCUCGCAAUGAGGAGAAAGCUUCUCUCAUUGAGAAGCUGUUUAAAUUUGAACCGGUUCAGUCAUACAUGAUUCCUUUACCAAAUAAAGGGGAGGGGGAAAUUCCAGUGCCUCUGCCUACCUUGCUUCCUGAUCCUGUUCUAGUGGAAGAUGUAAUUGCAGCAGCUGAGCCUUCCGUUGAGUACCAUUGCAACUCUUGUUCAGUUGAUUGCUCAGGCAAGCGCUAUCAUUGCCGGACCCAGGCAGAUUUUGACCUGUGUUCUAACUGCUACAACGAAGAAAAAUUCGAUGGAGGCAUGUCCAAAACAGAUUUCAUCCUCAUGGAUUCCACAGAAGUUUCUGGUGCUCGUGGUACUAGCUGGACUGAUGAGGAGACAUUGCUUCUCUUAGAAGCUCUGGAAAUUUUUGGUGGAAAAUGGACUGAGAUUGCCGAACAUGUUGCUACAAAAACAAAAACACAGUGUAUGUUACACUUUCUGCAAAUGCAAAUUGAGGAUCGCUUCCAUGAUGGUGAUGAUAUUCACCAAAAUAUCCAUGAAAGCACAGAGCAAGCCUUGGUGGAAAAAGGCACCCCUGAAGUACCUGAGAAAAUGGAAACUGAAGAGAAAGUUGAAGGAAAAGAUACCAAGGAUGAGAAGCCUUCAGAGAAAACGGAAGGCAAUCACGCAGAAGAAAAAACAGAAGAAGGAAGUGUUGUUGAAAAUAAAGAUGCCAAAAAUUCAGGUGGUGCAGAUUCAGUCACAACACCAAACGUUGAUGAGCCAAAACCAUCUUCUGAUACUGACCUAGCAAAGGAAAAUUCUGUUAAUCUUGAUACUUCUGAGAAAAAUGCGCCAGAUGAUGCUAUUGUUAUUUCUGGUGAAAAUGCAUCAAAUGAUGCUAUUGAUAUCCUAAAAUCUGCGUUCGAGGCUGUUGGUAACUUCCCUGGACAUGAAGGUUCGUUUGCUGAUGCAGGGAAUCCUGUUAUGGCACUGGCAGCAUUUUUGGCUGGUCUUGUGGAAGAUGACAAUGCUACCACUUCUUGCCGUAGUUCACUAAAAGCUAUCUCAGAGGAUUCUCCUGCGCUACAAUUGGCAAGUAGGCACUGUUAUAUUCUUGAAGAUCCACCGAGUGAUCUGAAAGACAUUUUUGUCACUGUGAGUAAUACAAAUAAAGAUGAGGAUCAAGCAAAAGGUGAGGAUCAAGCAAAAGGUGAGGAUAUGGUCAUAGAUUCAACUGGUACUGAGAAAAAGGACAUCAAUGUUAAGGAAGAGAAUACCGUGUCUGUGGAAAAGCAAAACAGUCCAUCCAUUUCACCAAAAGACCACAAAGAAUCAGAUACUAAGAAUGUAUCUUGCGAUGAUGAAGCACCCACAGUGGAGCCUAAAUCCAAUAAAGCUAAGGAGACCGAUGAUCCAAUUCCUCUGGUGGAUAAGGGUGCGUCCAACGACACAAAAGUUCCAUCAAGUUCUACCAAAGAUUCAGUUGCUCCAGAAAAUAAUGCAAAUGGAUGUGGUUUGUCAGCUUCUCAAGAGGUUGUUGCAGGAAGUACUACAUGUGCAACUAAUCCUGAGCUGUUAAAGGACAAACCAAGUUCUGAAGUGGAGCCAGAUGAUGAUUCACCUUCACAAGGCAAGAUCGAGCUUAACAAGACUGAAGAUGCAGUUGCUGCCCCAACUGCCGUACAAGAAGAUGAGAAAACCCAUACAUUGGGGAAUGGCAAGCUGGAAGGUACUUCAUCUACAUUUAGCUUAUACGUAAAGUCCGAAACUAUCUCUAAUGAAACAAGAGAAGAGUAAGCAUGCAAAGUUCAAUUAGCGCAUUCUGAUUAGUUAAACACUAUAUAAUUAUUCACUAGUCCAGAAGACUUCGUUGCAACAUUGACAUGCGUCAACUGCACAUGUAAGCAGUUAUGCUGGUCUGGUAAUGCUGGGUAAGAUUAUUCACAUUCCCAUAUAUUCAUCAUAAUUUCUUAGCACGCCAUCAGAUUCAGCUGUUUCUGAGCAGGACCUGCUAAAUCCAGAAUUUUAGAUCUGACUUACAAACAUAGUAUUGUAGCCAUGGAAUAUGUGGUUUGCUUUUCCUGUGCUGCCAUAAGAGAUCAACUUGUAGCAAAAUUUGGAUGUGGAAGUGAGAAGGAGAAUUCUAAAUGCUUUAGUUGCUUGAACUGUUCUAUUUGUGCGCUUUAACAGCUUAAUUAGUUAAACAUUCGUGUAGUUAGUUUUGUUUUCCUUUUCGUUCUUCAGUUGAAUGAUGAGUGCAUUUAUUUCCAAUUUCUCGUUUCCUUUCUUGAUCUUUUAGUUCCCAGACAUAAUCAUUCUCUGACAUCUGUAUCCCCCAAAUAUUGGAGAAUAUAUACCAGCUGUCUCCUGUAAGGAUGGCCCGAUGAGAGCUUUGUGAUAUCUGACCACGAUGAAGUAAACAGAGUCGUAUGAAUUAGAAAAAGGCAGUCAUUAGAGGGGCAGAAUUUAGAAAACAGAUUUAGCUUCAUAGGCCAAUCCUCUUGGUGGUUCAAUUUUUCAUCAGCUGAUUUCCUCCCCUGUGCUAUCCCUAUCUUGCAGAACCUAACAGUGCUGAAAAUGUACCUGCCGAUGGAGAGAUGGUCUCAAGAGUGACCGCCGAGCAUAAUGAUUCCUUAACUACGCUAAAACGAGCCGCAGCGACUGCUGUUUCAGCAGCUGCUGCGAAGGCUAAGCUCCUUGCUGAGCAGGAAGAAGAUCAAAUUCGACGGCUAGCUGCACUGGUGGUCGAGAAACUGCUGCAGAAGACAGAGGCGAAGAUGUCAUUAUUUGCAGAUGUUGAGCAUGUGGCCCUGCGCACAAGAGAAUACACUGAAAAGACCAGAAAGAAGCUUCUGAUGGAGCGGAACGCAAUAAUCGCAGCUCGCAUGGGCGCACUGCCAUCUAGGCCGAACCAGCAGGGUGCAGCUGGGAACAGAUUGCCGCCCGGAUAUGGCGCCCCUGCAGUAAGACCGCCGAACGCAAUGCCCCGGCCGAGCAGCUGAGUCGAUGAGGUAAAACCUGUCGCCUCGGUGAUCGACCUGUAUACCCGAUUCUUUUAGAAGCACACCUCAGACCAAUCAGGCAUAAGUUAUGUUGUUGUUGUAGCAUUCAUGUAGGAGCGUACCUUAUCGUGAUCUGUAUAAGGAAAAAACCCGGCCAUUUUGGCUUUGGAUGUGAUGCUCUCUCCGUGCACUCUGCUUGUGACUGAGCCAUGUUAAGAUCUUCCGUGUAGACUGAAGUUACCAAAAGAGUUUUCAUGCGGACUGAUGUGCUUGUAACGAGGCGAUGGUUCGGUUUUCGUGGUCAUCCUUGCGCGAAUUUUCGUGUGAAGAUGCUCGGAGUCUUGUUCGUUUUUCCAUCUAUGUAUUGUUUGUGUCUUUGUUGGCAAAGUCUCGACGGUGGACGGGUGGAGGCAGCGUCGUAUCGAAUAAAUG
rnacentral:rRNA from 1 species